ensembl:lncRNA
AUGUUGCACAGCUAUAAACAAAGAGAGAUUUCAGGACAACAAUGCACACGUAUCUUUCUUUGGGAAAAGCAGUCACCGUUGUGGGCUUCUUCUAAUAGUUGCUAUGGGUGUUGGUUGCAUUCUGAGAGUGUCUUGGGUCUGCUUGUUGCUCUGUGGUGGCAGUCUUGCUGCAUCAAUGAAGGGGUACAACAAUCCCUAUACCGAUGCCAGCCGUGGACUUGGGGGUUUUCAAGAGGAGCAGCUGGUGUUUUCUCCAUCAAAAGUAUUGAGUUCCUAUGGCCAAGCAACAGGCUACGCAGACAGAAGCUACAGAUCCCCGGUAGCACUACAGAUUAACUGGGACUUGUUCAUGCCUCAUGAGCCACUCACGUUCCCUUUAAACCCCACAUACAAGACUGUUAGAGGGUCUAACGAUCCGCAUGGCGGAGUAUUCAUUGAGCCUUCUACCCAAUCUUCAAAGCCAGGGAGCUUUGGUUUUCCCAGUUCUGUACCCUCCUUCGACCCUGUCCCCCAUCAUCAGUUCACUGACUCUGAGGUCACGCCCAUCAAUUCGACACUUGAUGCUGACCCAGUAUCUAGCAUAGGUGGAUACGGCCUGCCUCAGCACCUCAGCCUCCAGUUUGACAGAGCAGGUGAUGCCCAAGGCUAUUCCCCUAACUUUGAGGCCAAGCACCCUUCUUCUGAAAAUGCACAGCUUCCUUCCAAAGAGGUUGGCCCCUCCAACUACAACUCAGACAGUGCUGUCCAGCCAAGCAGUUGGCUGUCUCGACCCUUCGAGAGCAAAGAGGUGCCGGUAUUCUCCAGUCAUACUUGGAGGCGUCAACCCCCUCUGAAUGAAGCUGUUCAGCUUCAGCAGCAGGGUAUUGAUAAACAGCCUCAUCGACAAGGUUAGUGGAAUAGCUUUGUGAACCUUCUUGUACACCAGCUUGGAAGUUGAGGUUCAGUGAAGAGCUAGAGUAAUCCCCUUUAGUGUCAGUACUAGGUACUGCUUCCGCCUCCAGAGGCUGUUCGCUAAUGGUCUGCGCUGCUUGGGCCCAGUCACCUGAAUUACUGACGUAAACCGGCUCCUCUUCUCUAGUCAUGUAAGGAGCAGAAGACCAAGUGCUGGGCUGGACCACAUUCACAGAGUUGUAGUCGGAGAGGUCACUCUCUUCUGAAGGAAGCUGUGCAGUUUCAGCAGCAGGGUAUUGAUAAACAGCCUCAUCAACAAGGUUAGUGGAAUAGCUUUGUGAACCCUCUUGUACACCAGCUGGGAGGUCAAGGUGCAGUGAAGAGCUAGAGUAACCCCCUUUAGUGUCAGUACUAGGUACUGCUUCAGCCUCCAGAAUAUGUUCACCAAUGUUCGGAGCGGCGUGGGCCCAGUCACCUGCAUUACUGGAGAAUACCGGCUCUUCUGUGGUAAUGUAACGAUCAGAGGACCAACUGCUUGGCUGUUCCGCAACCACAGAGUCAUAGGUGUAGGGGUCAUCAUCUGGUGAAGGAAGCUGUGCAGUUUCAGCAGCUGGGUAUUGAUAAACAGCCUCAUCGACAAGGUUAGUGGAAUAGCUUUGUGAACCUUCUUGUACACCAGCUGGGAGGUCAAGGUGCAAUGAAGAGUAAGCCCCUUUAGUGUCAGAGGGUGGGAAGUGAGGCUUCGUGCUGCCCCACUGCUCCUCAAAAGAGUGAUCAUGCUGGUUGGGAGGGUUUAGAGGGAAUGUCACUGGCUUGACAAGUUUCUGGUCUUCCAUCUCAGCAUUUUUCUGUCCAAACUCCACAGCUCCUCCUCCCUGGAUCCUCGCCCCUUCCUCGGGGUUCAACGGUGCCUGCUUUGGAGCUGCAGCUAGUGGGACGUUUUUGCUUCGGUCUGAAUAGCCUUUUUCUAGGCUAUAUGCAUCAAACCUUAGAGUAUGAGAAGUUUGUAGCUCGUCAUCUUUAUCACCCCCAAUUUCAGGAUGGUCAUUCUUGGAGGUAUAGCUAUAACCUAAAAUAAAAUACAAAAAAAACAUAUUAAGUGACCAUGUGAAUCAAACAAGUAAAAAAUAUUCUAUGUGCAAUGUUACCCUUCAAUGAUGGAAAAGGAAGACUGCCACCAAACAGCAACCAAGAAAACCAAGACACUCUGCAAUACAAGAAAAAGUGUUAAUCAGCUACACAUAUAACUGAAGAGAGAAGACAAAAGCUACAACGCCAAGACUACCUGAGAAUGCACCCAACAGCCAUGGCACACUAGAUUCAAAGUAUUUCCCAGACAGAUUGGUAGAGGCCAAACCAGACCUACAGCACUGUUGCACUGAUCCUCUGCUAUCUCUUUAUAUUGUGGCCCUGUAGCCAAUCAACGCAAGCAUUUGCAGCUCCUAGCCUUUGCAUCAUAAUCAUCCACAUCAAAUACAGGUGUGGUAUUUGGGCAACCAUGUUCUUACUCCAAUAGUAUCCGUCUGCUUCCUGCAAGAGGGAGGCGUGACUUGUAGUAGGCGUAACUUGUAGUUGGAGGCGUGUCUUGUACUUUUCUAAAUCACGGAAGUAGGAGGG